UACAGAGGUCCCAAGCGUUGUUCGGAUUCACUGGGCGUAAAGGGCUCGUAGGCGGCCAACUAAGUCAGACGUGAAAUCCCUCGGCUUAACCGGGGAACUGCGUCUGAUACUGGAUGGCUUGAGUUUGGGAGAGGGAUGCGGAAUUCCAGGUGUAGCGGUGAAAUGCGUAGAUAUCUGGAGGAACACCGGUGGCGAAGGCGGCAUCCUGGACCAACACUGACGCUGAGGAGCGAAAGCCAGGGGAGCAAAGCGGG
rnacentral:rRNA from 1 species